rnacentral:rRNA from 1 species
UACGGAGGGGGCUAGCGUUGUUCGGAAUUACUGGGCGUAAAGCGCACGUAGGCGGCGAUUUAAGUCAGAGGUGAAAGCCCGGGGCUCAACCCCGGAACUGCCUUUGAGACUGGAUUGCUUGAACAUCGGAGAGGUGAGUGGGAAUUCCGAGUGUAGAGGUGAAAUUCGUAGAUAUUCGGAAGAACACCAGUGGCGAAGGCGGCUCACUGGACGAUUGUUGACGCUGAGGUGCGAAAGCGUGGGGAGCAAACAGGG